rnacentral:lncRNA from 1 species
CUCAGAUUGCUCAUAUAUCUGUUGUUACAAAAUCUCACCAUGCAAAACCUCAACUUUAACCAAAAACACUUAAGAACUCAUCCUAAAGGCAUUAUUAAUCAUUAUACAUUGUACUUUUCUCAUUUGACAGCUUAAGCAAGUCCUAAAUAGUCUCCUAAUACAAUCCCAACUGUUAAACACAAUCCCCACUGUUUACCUCAAAAUUUCACUACUUAAAACCUUAUUUUUACACUAAAUAUACCUCCAACUUCAACAUUGAUCCCCUUACUUGUUUCAUGCCAGAUUUUCUUCAAUCUAACACUUUUAAUAAGUUUGAAAUGAUCUCAUAACAGCACUCAACCAAUUACUUCAUCACUUUAACCUCUAUCUUUACACCCAUCUAAACCCCUAUUUUUUACCUUAGAACCUAAGCAAAAGAUACUUCUUUAAUUCAACCACUUUGCAUUCAAUUUUCAAACAUUAGGACAACUUCAUUACAAUAAUCAAUACAGUUUCACACAUCAC